GAUAACUCUGUCUGCUUAGACCACACAUGAGAACAACAGUUAGAAUUGCCUGAAGGGAUGACUGGACAGCCAGUCCAGGCAGAGCCUCUCCCUGGAGUGUCUCGAAUGUGUGCAACGUGCAUGAACGCUGGAUGUGGCUCAGUGAGCUGAGAGGUGUGGAGCAGCGCACUUGGCAGGAUGAGUCCCUGCGGAUGGUGGAUGAGGAGGAGCCGUGAGCACUGUUCGUUCUAGAAGGACUGUUGUUUCUGAUUCCCUGGCUGAACUCGGAGCCCUUGGGGCUUACCCGCUUGGAUCAACUUGCUCUGUCAGAUGCCGUCUCUAGUGGACCUCCCUCUCCAGACUCCUGCUCACCCUGGCUUCCUAAGAUGAAGCAUUUGAAUGUGGAUUUUCCCUGCCACAGCUUCCUACCUGUGUGGGCAAGAGAUUCCUGGCCUGGAACGUGGGACCCUUGGAUCCUCUAUGACCUGAACGAGCACUACAAGUGAGAUGCCACUCUCUGCCCUGACUUCGGAUGGAGAACCAGCAGAAAGCGAGACUGCCAGUCAGCUCCGCCACUCACACAAGUCUAAUAAUUAGCAAUCACUGGGGGAAAUACAGGAAACCAAUUCCAGUUGAAAGAUUUUAAGGAAAUAAGUGAGAUGAGAAGAGUAGACUGAUCUACUGGAAUAUCCAUCUGCAACAUACCCAUGAAAAGUGAUCUCCUGAGGAAUAUUUUCAGGGGCCAAAGAACAAGAGGACAAGACCAGGGAUGGAGAGACGCAGCUGAAGCCACCUGCUGGAUCUCAGCACUGAGCCUGCAUCCCCCGAGGACAGCAACGACCUUCGAAGAAAUAAAAGCAAGAAUAAACAAAUGGGACCU